rnacentral:rRNA from 1 species
CCCUUAGACGUUCUGGGCCGCACGCGCGCUACACUGACGAAGGCAACGAGCUUUCCUUUACCGAAAGGUACGGGUAAUCUUUUGAAACUUCGUCGUGCUGGGGAUAGAUCCUUGCAAUUAUUGAUCUUAAACGAGGAAUUCCUAGUAAGCGCAAGUCAUCAACUUGCGUUGAUUACGUCCCUGCCCUUUGUACACACCGCCCGUCGCUACUACCGAUUGGAUGGUUUAGUGAGAUCCUCGGAUUGGUCCCGGAGCGGCCUCUGGUCGUGCCGGAGUGCCGAAAAGAAUGUCGAACUUGAUCAUCUAGAGGAAGUAAAAGUCGUAACA